CAGGCCUAACACAUGCAAGUCGAACGAAGCCUUCGGGCUUAGUGGCGCACGGGUGCGUAACGCGUGGGAAUCUGCCCUUGGGUUCGGAAUAACAGUUAGAAAUGACUGCUAAUACCGGAUGAUGACGUAAGUCCAAAGAUUUAUCGCCCAGGGAUGAGCCCGCGUAGGAUUAGCUAGUUGGUGAGGUAAAAGCUCACCAAGGCGACGAUCCUUAGCUGGUCUGAGAGGAUGAUCAGCCACACUGGGACUGAGACACGGCCCAGACUCCUACGGGAGGCAGCAGUGGGGAAUAUUGGACAAUGGGCGAAAGCCUGAUCCAGCAAUGCCGCGUGAGUGAUGAAGGCCUUAGGGUUGUAAAGCUCUUUAAGUUGGGAGGAAGGGUUGUACGUUAAUACCGUGCAAUUUUGACGUUACCGACAGAAUAAGCACCGGCUAACUCUGUGCCAGCAGCCGCGGUAAU
rnacentral:rRNA from 1 species